UAAUCGAGCUUUCAUCAAGAGGUACUGCGCCCCCAGGCAGGCGCAAGGCGAAACACCACAGCAGCCUGGGGAUGGCCAGCAACAGACAACAAAUGCACCACCGCCACCUCCAGAGCCCCUCAGCUCAUCCACAAAAAGGUUAGAGUAUUGCCUAUGACACAUGGCCGACCAAUAGGCGACCAAGUCCAAAGACAAAGGUAAGCAAAGUACUAGGUCCGUG
rnacentral:lncRNA from 1 species